rnacentral:piRNA from 1 species
GAAUAUAGCUGUUUGAUGGACACUUCUUG